rnacentral:lncRNA from 10 species
CGGGCGGGAGCGUGGGCCGGAGCCUGAGGCGAGAGCGCGAGGUCCCGGGCUCUGCCUCAGGAAAGGAGGCCUGAGGUGGAAAACGACACUGGGGCUCUCGAGAGCCUCGGCUGGCCGUGCCCAGGCGCCCCUCGAACCCACCCGAGGACGCGGGCGUCACAGGCUGAGGAGAAAGUGGGAACCCCUCGGUGUCCCGGUGCCCCUUUCUCAGGGUGGCUUCUGGCGCGGCACGGGGCCUCGCUGCGCGUUUGCCGCCGCCCUCAGGGAGGCGUUUUCUCCAGCAGGAGCAGCCCCCCAGGCGGGACUCGAACCCCGACUGCCAUCGCGAGCCACCCCCGCGGCAGGCGUGGGCCUUCUCGUCAAGGCCCGGCCACCUCACUCUCGAGGCGGGAAGGAGCCGCACGACGGCCGCCUCCGGAUGCAACGGUCCCCGGGACGCGCUCCAUGGCCCCGCCUCCACCCCCCGCGCCAACUCGGAAAACGCUCGGGAAGAAUCCCGGGGGCCUCGGGGACCGGGACCAGGACCAGGCGCCGGACGCUGAUGGGAAGGAGGGGACACCCGGAGUUAGGGACAAAGUCACGAGGCCACUCGCAGAGCCCUCGCGCGCGUGUUCAUCGACUGCCCCCUGGGCGGUGACCUUAUUCAGCAAGACCUGAGCUCAGGGGCGGGGUGACAUCUAACUGGAGUCAUCAUGAUGGAGCCACGUGGUCCAACAGUGCCCGGUCCUUGUAACCAGGAGGGCCCGCAGUGUCACCACUUCCUCGAAGUGAGGCCACUGCCCUCAGCUUCUUGGAGACAGCAGAUAUGAGCAGAAACCCCCAAAAGUCAGGAGCAAAUUUGUUUCAGAAUCUCUCCAAAUCUGUGGCUUAAAACAAGUUCAGAGGGAUUUUGGUGCACAGCUACAGACUGAGCUGGUUUACUGCACAUUUAUAAAUGGAAAUCUUUAUUUCUUUUCCUCUCUAUGUUUUUAAGAAAUCCUGUUGCAAGGUCAUUAAUCACGUUAUCCAUUAUACCACAAACAAAUGGAUUUGUCACUUGUGCGCAGAAGCCGAGGUUGAUUCUGAAAGCAAAUUGUACCAAAAUAAAUGAAAUUAUUAUGAUAAUAUAAACUAGACUGCAGUGAUUAAUCUCUAGAAACCAAAUUCUGACCUGCUUUGCACUUCAAACAAUAGCUUCUAUUAUGUAAAUAGUUGUGGGGUUUUCAAGGACAUUAUUGCUAAAUUAUAAGAAAAGUUCUAUUCUUGAAAAUCUCUUCGUGGAUAAAAAUGAGAGACAGGAACCUGGUCUGCAAGGUAUCCAAAGCAGAGGACAAUGGAAGUAAUGAUGGUUCAGUGUUCUUUAUUCACUCAAUCUGUAUCAUGAGACUUCGGGAAAACCUGGUGGAUUAAAUACCCUCCUGCAACCUCACUGAAAGUGGCAGAAAAGGGAUUAAAAUGGAUAUGAGCUGCAAGGAUAAAGAGAACUGCAAAGGAGAAGAGAACAAUAACACCUUAGAACAAUAAAAUCUCAGAACUGGAAAGCAAAUGGACGAGCUGAAAUUGUCUUAGGAGAUGAGAGAAAUAAAAACUGGACAUUGAAGAGAGGCCCCAGUC